rnacentral:rRNA from 1 species
GUGCCAGCCGCCGCGGUAAGACAGAGGGUGCAAACGUUGUUCGGAAUUACUGGGCGUAAAGCGCGUGUAGGCUGUCUCGCAAGUCGGGUGUGAAAGCCCUGGGCUCAACCUAGGAAGUGCACUCGAAACUGCGAGACUUGAGUCCUGGAGAGGAAGGCGGAAUUCUCGGUGUAGAGGUGAAAUUCGUAGAUAUCGAGAGGAACACCGGUGGCGAAGGCGGCCUUCUGGACAGUGACUGACGCUGAGACGCGAAAGCGUGGGGAGCAAACAGGAUUAGAUACCCUGGUAGUCCACGCCGUAAACGAUGGGUGCUAGGUGUCGCGGGCUUUGACCCCUGCGGUGCCGCAGCUAACGCAUUAAGCACCCCGCCUGGGGAGUACGGCCGCAAGGCUAAA